rfam:Schistosoma mansoni strain Puerto Rico chromosome 1, complete genome
UCACUACUGAGGAGUCCCACAAUAGGACAAAACGGCCGUCCAGUGC